GCACAGUAUUGUUUGAAUGUAAUGGUGAAUGUCUUACGCAUGCUAAGCGGUCUUCUUUUCGUGUCCUGUUCUGUUCCCUGCCUCGCAUCCAGUUUCUUGUUUUAACCUCGUUAAUCUUGCUCAGUAUAGACCGCGUUUCCUGUUUUUCGUCUGCUGUGUAAAAAUAAAGACGUUGAUCUGCACCUGCUCCCGCCUCACCUCCCUGUAUCGUAAGACAAACAGCAUAGCAGCAAUAUGUGAUUGGCAGCAGAAGAGCUGGAUUGGUGUCAAGUCAUUGUGGCUCAUGGGCAGUUAAUGGGUGACCAUCGGCGGCAACUCGCAGAGCUUGACACAAAGAUGAACCUCCUCUCCCAAGCCAUCACUAUAACUCCGGUUGCUUCAACCCCAGAGCCCAUCAUACACAGCAGUGUGGGAGCAGGGAGGUGACCAAUUACGUCAUAUGAGCACUUCACAGUGCCUUUGCUGCUUUUCAGUGCUGUUGCAAUCUUGAUUCCAAGCAGAUCCAGGAAGAUGAACAGGGG
ensembl:lncRNA